rnacentral:tRNA from 1 species
GGGGCUGUAGCUCAGCUGGGAGAGCGCCUGGUUCGCAAUCAGGAGGUCGGGAGUUCGAUCCUCCCCAGCUCCACCA